AUUUUCCGCAAUGGGCGAAAGCCUGGCCGGAGCAAUACCGCGUGAGGGAUGACGGCCUAUGGGUUGUAAACCUCUUUUUUCACGGAAGAACAAAAUGACGUUACCUGAAGAAUAAGCAUCGGCUAACUCCGUGCCAGCAGCCGCGGUAAGACGGAGGAUGCAAGUGUUAUCCGGAAUCACUGGGCGUAAAGCGUCUGUAGGUGGUUUAAUAAGUCAACUGUUAGAAUCUUGAAGCUCAACUUCAAAACCGCAGUCGAAACUAUUAGACUAGAGUAUAGUAGGGGUAAAGGGAAUUUCCAGUGGAGCGGUGAAAUACGUGCAGAUAGGAAAGAACACCUAUAGCGAAGGCACUCUACUGGGCUAUUACUAACACUCAGAGACGAAAGCUAGGGUAGCAAAUGGGGUUAGAUACCCCAGUAGUCCUAGCUGUACAACGAUACUACGAUGUGA
rnacentral:rRNA from 1 species